CUAAAGCCACUGACGUCCCUGACACUGAAGGACAUGUCAGAUCAGUUUCCCAGGAAGACCUGGGUGUAGGAGGUGGGGAACAGGUGACAUAACACAGUCCCACAGACGCAAACACAAGGACAUUUGCUGACGCACAGGCACGGUAAGACACACAGAGAGAAAGUCAAAACACAGGAAACAUAUGCACACAGACCCAAAUGAUCCUGACACAGGUACAAACCCACAGAUACACAGACAUAUGCAGAUCUACAGAGACCGUGUAUGCAUAGUCAUACAUCCAAAUCCUCAGACAUACACACACACACACACACACACACACACACACACACACACACACACACACACACAGGGAGAGAGAGAGAGAGAGAGAGAGAGAGAGAGAGAGAGAGAGAGAAUAGACACAGAGGCAUACAAGUAUCCAUAGAAAUAUACACAGACUCCAAGCUGACUCCUCAUCAUAUGCAGACAUAUAUGGAGAUAUAUACACAUACUAACACAUCCUCAGCAGGAGGCGGGCAUACCUGCUGCCCCUUGCUGCCAGAAGGUACUGAGUCUUCCCCUAGCCUUUCCUAUGUACACAAGAAAUUGUAUCCUAACUGGAGACUCUGUGGGAGAAAGCAUGGAUUUCUCUAGGCACCCAGGGUCUUCUUUUAACCCUGACCAGCCAGUACCUGGAACAGCCUUGACAGAGAUGUGUGGCGAGGAAGCAUGAGGACCAUGGCGUCAAGUCAACCUGUGCUCCAGGACAUAUGUUUGAAGAUGACAGAGGGUAUCCAAAGGAGUCAACGAUUGCCCAAACUUACCAGCUUCCUGGAAGCAGUCAAACUAGGGCCUCUGGUUGAUGAAUCCACACUCAAGGCAUGACCACCCUGGGCUUUGCGAAAAUUCCAUGUGCUGAUUAAUUUUUGUCAACUUGACCGGAACCUGGACAUUCCUAGGUAGAGGAAAUCUCAACUGAGGUGUUUUCAUCAGAUUGGACUGCCAAUCCAGGUGGGCUAGCUAAGCCUACUGUGGGCGGUACCAACCCUAGGCAGGCGAGCCUGGGCUAAGAAAGGCAGCAGAAUGUAUGUGAUCUGGGAGCAAGCAGUAAACAGUGCACCUCCAUGGUCUCUGCUUCAGUUCCCGCCUCUGGCUCUUGCCUUGCGUUCCUGCCCUGCCUUCCCUCAGUGAUAGAGUUGUAAGCUGAAAUAAGCCCUUUCUUUCUCAGGUUGCUUUUGCUCACAGUGUCUGUCACGUGGGCAUAAAACUAAGACACUCCACUAAGUACUUUCCUAAGUGACACAGCUUAAUGGAUGACUUCUAAGCUGGCUGCCUUGUCCAGGUGGGAGAGAAUUCCUUCUUCAGAAGGGGUUGCCAUGUGGUCUUCGGUGUCACAUGGUCUUAAGUGAUGUCUUAUCCUGGAGCUCCACUGAAGCUGCAUCUCACAAAUCAACAGGGUCCUCAGUCUGCUCCCUCUCGGCUGAUAAAACUUACAUAAUGAUAAAUAAAACAUGCAUUAUAUGCUAUUAUAUAUAACAUGCUAUGUAUUGUGAGAGAUUACACGUUUUGUAUAAACUAUGCAUGUACCUAUCAUCUACUUAUCUAUCUACCUAUGGCAGAUACCUAUAUAUACAUUUGCAUCCUGACAUAUAUAUGGAAAAUAUGGGUGCAUGUAUACACUCAUAUACAUACACACAUGGCAGAUAUAUAUGUGUGUGUAUAUGCUGACAUACAUGUGGUAGAGAUCUAAUCUAUAUACAUGUGUAUGCUCACACACAUGUAUGGCAUAUAUCUCUCUCUAUACACAUGUACAUGCUGACUUCUUUCCAUCUGGGGUCAUUCUGCCCCGACUGUUUUUCUUUUUUCUUUUUUCUUUUUUUUUUUUUUUUUUUUGGAGCUGGGGACUGAACCCAGAGCCUUGCGCUUGCUAGGCAAGCACUCUACCACUGUGCUAAAUCCCCAACCCCCCCGACUGUUUUUCUUCUGGUUGUAGAGACCAUACAGCCCCACCCAUAGUCAGUCAGGUCUAUUUUUCUUUGUUGCAGUACGUACCAGGUUUUAAAGCUCAACCAAGCCGUAGGCCAGCUGAACUGUUUUGUAUAACAGCUGCACCUGACAGGAGGACGGGCUCUCUGUGCUGAAGCCCUCUGCAGAUCCCGGAAGGAGCCUCUGCUGGCAUCAUUGCCCCUGCCUGCCUCAGGCCUGACAGGAAGGGGUUGUGUUGAAGGGACAUCGCAAGGGCAGGAAGUAAAGGAAGUCACGCGCGGUCAUCCACGUGUCCUGAGGGAUUUGGUCACAUCUUAUUGUCUUGGGAGCCUUCUCAAUCCUCCUGAAACACUGCCAGACCACUCCUCACCCGGGUGACAGCUAAAGGUCACCCGGGGUGCCAGUGGGGAUCCACUGGGGGGGACCCUGAAAGGAUGGCCUCCUGGGAAGACACAUCCUGUUCUUGUGAUCCUGGACUUCUAGCUGCCCCACCCCAGGGAGGCCUCUCUCCUCUGUUUCCCUGAAGGCUACAACUGGCUCUUUUUUCCCUGUGACUCUUUCUCCAGCCCCAUCCUCCACUGUGGCCCAAGGAGAACCUUCCAGAGCUUGAAGCCUCUGUCUCACCUCAUACCUGAAAAUCCUCCUGAGCGUCUAUAUUUCCUAAAGAUAAGAUCCGAAUGCCUCGGUGUGACACCAGGACACAUGGUCACCUGAUUCCUGCUCACUUCUCUAACCUGAUCCUCAGCUAUGCUGGGGACACAACCUGUAUCUCCUUCAGACAGACACGCCGGAGUCAGAGUUACCCAGACCUCCACAGCUCUGCAAUCACAAGUCAGCUCCCUUGGCUUCAGCCCUAUACUAGGUUCUGCCCCUGUGCCUCAAGGCUCAGCUUACUAGUGUGCCUUCUCCAACCCCCACAUCCUGCCCAGCAUCUCUGAUCACACUGCUUACACACACACACACACACACACACACACACACACACACCCUCCAAGGCUGCAAUUCUUGAGGGCUAACAGAAACCAAGAAUCUUAGGACAUGUUUUUAUUAGCACAUAGUGAUUGUGUAAAAUAGUGAUUUUUAUUAUGAACCUAUAUAUUUCAACGAUAUUCAUCCUCCACACCCUUACCCUCUCUUCUUGCUCUCUUUCAUGUUCCCUAAUUCCCUUCUUCCCAUUCCCAUUUACCUCUCUCAUGUGCUCUCUCUAAAUAUAUGUAUAUGUAUAUAUAUAUGUGUGUGUGUGUGUGUGCGUGUGCAUGUGCACAAUACAUAUAUAUGUGUAUAUGUAAGUAUACAUAUGUAUAUAUGUGUAUAUAUACAUACACACAUACACACACACACACACACAUACACACAGAGGACCAGAAUAAUCCAUCAGGUUCCUUCUAAGAAAGAUAAUGGGUAAUUGUUUACAGGAACGUAGACACAUCACUAGUGACUGCACCACUGAAGAAAAUGUCUCUCCUUCAACCUGAACAUAAACCCACAGGAAGGGAUUAGGCUCUCGAGCCCCUCCCACUUUGACUGACCGGGAGUCUUAUCCACCAGGUAAUACACUUAACAACAGACAGGGCUUGUCCUGAAGCCCAGGGAAGUCCCAAGCAACACUGGACUGAACACAUCCACACCCUCAGGCUCGCCAUUCUCGUACCUCAGCAUUUCCUGAUUUAUUCCUACUUUACAUCCAAGAGCCGGUUCCCUGUGGUAGAAAACCAACAGAAUGCAACACUGGCUAUGCCAGAAAUGACAGAACCCACACAUUAUCGGGGGUAUCUGUCGAUCUGCUCAAUAGUUUCCUAAUCGCCCUUGAUGGAGAAGAUGCUCAAUAAAAUGUAAAUGCAUGUGUUUGGG